UACGUAGGGGGCAAGCGUUGUCCGGAAUCAUUGGGCGUAAAGAGCGCGUAGGCGGUCCGAUAAGUCGGCUGUGAAAGUCAGGGGCUCAACCCUUGAAAGCCGGCCGAUACUGUCGGACUAGAGUCCGGAAGAGGCAAGUGGAAUUCCCUGUGUAGCGGUGAAAUGCGUAGAGAUGGGGGAGAACACUCGUGGCGAAGGCGGCCAGCUAGACCAGUUCUGACACUGAGGCGCGACAGCGUGGGGAGCAAACAGG
rnacentral:rRNA from 1 species